rnacentral:lncRNA from 1 species
AUAUACUAUAACCUUGCCGAAUCAUAAAAACAGUUAAGGUACCGAUUGUACAAACUGGAGGUUUAAUGAUCAAAAUGUGUUACUGAAAUUCCGGGGACGGCUCCGACAAUUUUCCCAAGUCAUCUUCUUCCCAAAUUUUGGGAACUCAAACAGAGCUCCGACGAAGACACCCAGAUUCCGGCGAGUGUCUAAAAUCGCCGAAACUGACAGAAACUAGAAUAUUAACACACUUACUGCUUCCAAAUCUUGAUACGAAGCUAACCGAUGCAUUUGGAGGAUCUGUAGCAGCCUGAAUCGGUCGGCCGAGAUUCUUGCGACCGAAGGGUUCGCUUCCUCAGGAUAUGACAUCGACUGGUCUCCGCGAGGUGGCUUCAACGUCGCCGCCAUCGUCGAGGGGGGCUACGAGAUCUGAAUCCUAGGAUCUAGAACCGCUACUUGGCUCUAAAGCCUUGUAACAGAGCUCGGCUGAAAUCAUUCGUCGAGAAUUAUGGAUUGCCAAUUGACGAAUCCGUUUCCACUUCCGUCGAGUUUCUGAGAGAGAGAAGUGCCCUAUGGAUUCUUUGAUUUCAGUUUUUAAAACCAAGAAGAAGGGGAUGAAUUGAUUUGAUUCAUCAUCCGAGAUUUGGG